GACGUAGGGCGCGAGCGUUGUCCGGAUUUAUUGGGCGUAAAGAGCUCGUAGGCGGCUUGUCGCGUCGACCGUGAAAACUUGGGGCUCAACCCCAAGCCUGCGGUCGAUACGGGCAGGCUAGAGUUCGGUAGGGGAGACUGGAAUUCCUGGUGUAGCGGUGAAAUGCGCAGAUAUCAGGAGGAACACCGGUGGCGAAGGCGGCCCUCUGGACGGAUACUGACGCUGAGGCGCGAAAGCGUGGGGAUCAAACAGG
rnacentral:rRNA from 1 species